AUAAGACCUCACAAACACUCA
rnacentral:siRNA from 1 species